rnacentral:rRNA from 1 species
AUACGUAGGUGGCGAGCGUUGUCCGGAAUUACUGGGCGUAAAGGGUGCGUAGGCGGAUAUUUAAGUCAGAUGUGAAAUUCCCGGGCUUAACCUGGGAGCUGCAUUUGAUACUGGAUAUCUAGAGUGCGGGAGAGGAAAGUGGAAUUCCUAGUGUAGCGGUGAAAUGCGUAGAGAUUAGGAAGAACACCAGUGGCGAAGGCGACUUUCUGGACCGUAACUGGCGCUGAGAUACGAAAGCGUGGGGAGC